rnacentral:lncRNA from 1 species
AUAAUUUUUUUUUCUAAAAAUGGAGGAGGGAAAAGUGAGUUGCUUUGGGGGUUCUUGUUUGGAAAAGCCUGACAGCUGGAGGUCUGAUGGCUGCAAGUUCUCUGUCACCUAUGGACAAAGAAUGAGAGGCUUUAAAAAUGAAGAAAACGUUCGUGCCUCUUCAUCUUGGCAUUGGUUGCUGAAACAGGAGAGCAUGGCCAGGAGACAAAAGCUUGUCUGGUACUGAGAAGGGGUGUUUCAACACUGAACACAGGAUUCUUGCCUAAUUUCCUGUCCUCCUGGACUUGCUGUUUCGGUGAGCAGCACCCAUCAACGUGACAGUCCGGGUCAGCAAGUUGCAGCCAGUCUGGUCUGAGGGCUUUGCCACCAUCAGCCACUGAGUCCUGCAGUUUCUUCCUCCCCGAAGCCUCGUGAAUCCACGUGCUUUCUUCGUGCUCACUCCCUUCACCCUAAAUCUCCCACCAGGUUUAUGGCUGCAGCCGCCCAGCUGGUCUUCCUGACAGCAGUGUCUCCCUUCUCGGAUCUGUUCUUUGUGGGGGUGACUGUGAGCAUCAGGGCGUCCCUCCCCUCCACACCGGUCCAGGAUAAAGGCAGACUCGCCUGCACAGCACCUAUGUAUGCAGGGUUCUCAGUGCUGGUGACACGGGUGUGAUUAGAGGACUCUUUACUCAACCCCCACGUGCAAAAUCCAUCAGUUCCACCCCUUUCCAGUAAAACUCCUUGUAAAAAACAUUGUUUCAUUUAUAAAUAAGCUCUAGACUUCCUCUAGGGCUUCCUUUUCAGGGAGGGGGAUGUAUUUCCCUUUUAUUGAUUUAUUUAAAUUAACUUUUACAGGCGUGUAAUUGGGAUGAGGCUGGGAGAGCAGGCGUGGAGGUGGAGAUUGGGAAAAGUUGAAGCUGGAGAAGUGAGCGUGGCUCAAAUUGCGUGAAUAUAUGUGGAACCUAGGGCUUUCUUUUAACCAGACUGUUAACCCUCAGACUCUCUCAUAUAUAACAUAUGUUUAUAAACAUGUCGGAACUUCCCCUGAUGACUCUCUGAUUUCAGCUGUGCUCCACCCCACCUCGGCUCCCCCAGCCCCUUUCGAAAGGACACGCAGUUCCCCAGGAAGGCAGUUCCCUGCCCUGUGGCCUGGGCUCCUUCCCCCCCCGGCAGUGUGCCCCCUCGCCCUCCUUUGCACCCACUCUUUCAAACUGGUACCUGUUUUUCUUAAAGAAUUCACGUAGGACGCCUCAAAGAGUUCUGCACACCGUCUCGCCUGGCCUGAUCCUGGGCUGCUACAUGGCACUCUCACCCUCUCCUGUGUAUCCAGCUCACCUCUUAACUCUUUGCCUUCGUAUCUCCUCUGUGAGCUUAUCCUGAAUGUGAGGAAAGAAGGUCUAUUUACCUUUGUGUCUGUGGAGCCUUGUGAAAGGCCAGGCUCACAGAGGGCACUCAGUAAAUGUUAAUGCAUAAAACUGUGAGAAAUGCUUGCAGCAGCUCUAUGCAGAGAAGGUAGACUCAUGUCUCAUGGAUCUCCUUGCACAUGUUUGGUGGUCAGUAAUUACUUUGUUGAAUCAGAAUAAUUGAACGAUAUGGCCUGGUUCUGGCCAACUGGGAAAUGAUAAUCCUUUUAAAAAUGAGAAUUUUAAUAAUAGUGUAAGACUAUAUAUGAUUGUCAAAUGUAUGCCAUAGGUGUAUAGGAGAAUGAGGAAAUGAUUAUUUUUAGCUGCCUCAUAAUAUACUGAUCUCAACAAAUGUACCAGUUUAAAAGGUUUUUCACAAUCUAAACAGAUGUGAGUUGAGUGGAAAAAUGAGGAAAGUGAGAGUUUGCUGGUAGACAAUCCUGCCUGAGCCUCCCUCCCCUCUGCGUGUUUUGUGAGCAAAGGCAGGGAGGGCCCUUGUUCUGAAAGAUGGAACAAGCAUCUCCCUCUGGAGAAGAGGGGAGAUUAUGUCCCUCACAGUAAGGAUGUCUCCCUCUGGGACAAAGUGUGGGCUGGAUCAUAAAAUACGAGGGUUCCCUAUGCUGUGAUUCCUUUUCUGUAACACAAUCUUCUUCAUAUGUGGGUGUCACCUGGCCCUCUCUGCACCUCCCUGUGAGAAAUGGGACUCAGGAACCCGACAGAAAUGCUGGUGCACUGGCUAAUACUAUUGCUCCGAGUAAUAAAGCUUCCUGGGUCUCUGAUCCAGGCAUCCCUCCUCUUCUGCUGGCAUCCAUGAAACUGCGGCAGGCCGACGGGCUAGCUGGUACAGGGCGUGAAAUCUUAGACCUUCACAGUUCUCGACAGUG